ensembl:lncRNA
AGGGACAGGAAGUGGUGCCAGGCGCUGGGGAGGGAAGGGCAACGGGAAGCCACUCUUCCCAGGCAGGACCCUGUAAAGCCUGCACCUUCCCACAGGGCAGGGUAAGACAGUUCUUCCGGGUUGGAACUGUUUUUGGUGCCUCGCUGACUGACUUGCUUUUGUUAUUAUAAUCACACCUAAUGGCCCCGCUCUGAGAAUCCUGCCCCUCUGCGGACAGAUGAGCUACAGCGCCUUUGUUCAGAACCCUGUUCCCCUGGGGACUGCAGGAAGGAAGAAAUUAACAUGUCGGCCUGCCUGAGGCUCGCCAUUCCAGGGUAUUUGCAAGAUUGAUGAGGGUCUUUUUAGUUGGUUUCCUCACGUCCCCCUUGUCUGAUUCCUGAAAGAACCCGACAUCCAGAGUCCAACAAGAUGUUUAUUUGGAGACAUUCACUGGCCAUCUUGUUGUUCAUCUGGCUCUAAGAAUACAGCUUUGUUACUGGUCUCAACACCUCCUGUCCUGUAGCGAGCACAGUGAGCUUGGAUUCCUGUGGGGCCACAACCGAAUGGGCCCUGACCCUCUGCCCUCAGCUGAUCUUAAUCUGCACCCUAAUCGCCAGUGUGCCAGCUGCAAAGAGAGGGAGCUUGUUAACACACCGCUCCCAGGGCAUGAGCUCAUGGGGGCUGAUCCCGCCCAGGGGAGGGGCCCGUCUGGGCGCAGCUCAGCACACAGGGGUCACCGCCGCACACCCCCAGCCCGUUUCCUGGCCAGAGCUGACCCUGAGCCGCUCAGAGCAGGACCUGGACGGACAGACAGCCGCUCCUGGAAGGUGCCGCUAGCAGUAAACAGCCUGCCUGCCAAUGAAGAAGAUGCAAGAGACGCCGUUUCGAUCCCUGGGUCAGGAAGAUCCCCUGGAGGAGGGAGUGACAACCCACUCCAGUUUUCUUGCCUGGAAAACCCCCUGGACAGAGGAGCUUGGUGUCUCAGAGUUGGACACGACUGAGUGACUAAGAACACUCCAAUAUGUAUAUGUUAUUAGCAAACUCUUAAUUUAUCCCUCAUCCUUAACAUCUUUUUGAUAAUUGGUUUCCUCUUCUGUGCAGAUGCUUUGAGGUUAAUUAGGUCCUGUUUGGUUACUUUUGAUUUAUGUUUCAUUAUUCUAAGAUCUGGAGCCCAAAAGAACUUCCCGUGAUGAAUGUCAACGUGUGUCCUGUGUAUAUU